rnacentral:sRNA from 1 species
UUGUAGAGAUGGGGCCUCCCUAUGUUGCCCAGGCUGAUCUCAAACUCUUGGGCUAAAGUGAUCCACGCACCUUGGCCUCCCAACGUGUUGGGAUUACAGGCGUGAGCCACCUUGAAAGGACCCCCAUCCACACCCAUAUGGGCUCCUGGGAUCCUCAUCCUUGGGAGAGAUUUUCAAAUUCCUCCCUCACCCCCUAGGACUGCUGCACACAAGGCCUAGACUCCCAGCAUCCCUUCCCACCCACGUGUCCAGCUUUCUCUGACCCCCAUCUGCCUCCCCAGCUCUGCUCCCCAUCCCCCGUACUCACAGCUGGCUUCUUCCGAGUGAGGUGGUUGAGGAACGGUUUCCACCAGGCCUUGUCCAUGUCAGCCGGCCUCUCCUUGCGGGCCUGCUCGGGUGCUUUGGUCCUUUUGUGGGAACUAUAGUUUCCCAUGGCAGGGCUGGUCACCACUGGGGACGAUGGCCCACACUCCGUCUGCUCUGCCCUCUGGGCCCUGGCAACAUUGUGACCUCACGGGCUGACCUCACCAAUUGCAGUCUCUGAGCACUGCCUUCCAGGGCCCACAGGAAUACGAGAGGGCCUCCAAAGUGGACCAGUUUGUGACGCGCUUCCUGCUGCGGGAGACGGUGAGCCAGCUGCAAGCCCUGCAGAGCUCGCUGGAGGGGGCGUCAGAUACCCUGGAGGCCCAGGCCUGUGGCUGGCGGUCAGAUGCAGAGAGCGUGGAGGUGCAGAGCAGGCCCUGCGGCAGCCGGCGGGCAGGACGCCGGGCCCUGAGGAGUGUCAGCCGGUCAUCCACUUGGUCCCCCGGCUCUUCUGACACAGGGCGCAGCUCAGAGGCCGAGAUGCAGUGGCGGCUCCAGGUGAACCGCCUCCAGGAGCUCAUUGACCAGCUCGAGUGCAAGGCCCCCCGGCUGGAACCCCUGCAUGAAGAGGACCUGGCCAAGGGGCCUGACUUGCACAUCCUCGUGGCCCAGAGGCAGGUCCAGGUGGCAGAGGAAGGCCUGCAGGACUUCCACCGAGCCCUGCGCUGCUACGUGGACUUCACAGGGGCCCAGAGCCAUUGUCUGCAUGUGUCCGCCCAGAAGAUGCCAGACGGUGCCUCCUUCGCCCUGUAUGAGUUCUGGCAGGAUGAGGCCUCCUGGAGAAGGCACCAGCAGUCGCCCGGCAGCAAGGCCUUCCAGCGCGUCCUCAUCGACCACCUGCGGGCCCCGGACACCCUCACCACUGUGUUCUUCCCAGCCUCCUGGUGGAUAAUGAAUAACAACUGAGCCAGACCUGCACACGCCGAGGGCCCCGGGACCCUGCCUGCCUCCCUCUGGAGCCUUCUGGACUGGCCAGCCCAGCGCAAAGACCAGGGCUUGUCUCCUCCUGGACCUGGGCCUGGUGGAAGGGCUCUCAGCCCAGGGAUCAGGAACUGGGCUGCUUGCUUUCUAUUUAUUAUUGAUUUAUUUAUCCCUGUAUUUUAUUGUUUGUCACUUCAGCCUCCAAGCUACUUUGGCUUCUGCCUGGCUCAGGAGACCUGGAUUCUGGUCCCUGCUGUCCCUGCCUGGCUGAGCGACCCAGGGCAGGUCCUGUCCCUGUCUGGGUGGGCCUCGGGCCAUCUGGCCGCCUAGCGAGGGUCCUGCUUUCUUCCUGCUGUCUUGGGACCAGGCUUCUGCUCCUCCUCAGCCAGCGGCAGAAGCAGGGCUGAUGCUCAGGGACCCCCCAACCCCUCAAACCUUGCCCCCGAGGCUGGGCCUGACCUGGGUGCCCCUGUCGUCCUCCCAGGCCACUAGGCUCUGACUCUUCCAGCACCCAUGGAUGUGCCAGAGGCCUCUGGGUUGGUUUGCAUGUCAUUUGCAUAUCAUUUGCAUGCCCUCACCCCACCCAUUCUCAGGGCAAUAUGGGAAGCCCCAAGGUGACCUGGCCAAGUAGCAACAAUUUGGGUCCAGGGUCACCUAUUGCCCCCAGAGGCCUCUGAGCCCCAGGCUGGGACCCCAGCACAGAGGCAAUAAAGGCAGUGGUCCCUUCC